UACAGAGGGGGCAAGCGUUGUUCGGAAUUACUGGGCGUAAAGGGCGCGUAGGCGGCCUGCUAAGUCGAACGUGAAAUCCCUCGGCUUAACCGGGGAACUGCGUCUGAUACUGGAUGGCUUGAGAUUGGGAGAGGGAUGCGGAAUUCCAGGUGUAGCGGUGAAAUGCGUAGAUAUCAGGAGGAACACCGAUGGCGAAGGCAGGUCUCUGGGCUGACACUGACGCUCAUGCACGAAAGCGUGGGGAGCAAACAGG
rnacentral:rRNA from 1 species